ACGUGAGCUGGGUUUAGACCGUCGUGAGACAGGUUAGUUUUACCCUACUGAUGAAGAUCGCCGCAACGGUAAUUCAAUUUAGUACGAGAGGAACCGUUGAUUCAGAUAAUUGGUUUUUGCGGCUGUCUGACCAGGCAGUGCCGCGACGCUACCAUCUGCCGGAUAAUGGCUGAACGCCUCUAAGUCAGAAUCCGUGCCGGAACGCGGCGAUGUUGCCCCGCACGUCGUAGUUGGAUACGAAUAGGCCUCCGGGCCACGCACCUCAGCAGGCUGGCGACGGCGGUCCGGGAGAAACCCUGGGCCGCUGGCUGGCGGAUUGCAAUGUCACCACGCGCGGGGAUAAAUCCUCUGCAGACGACUGAAGUGACCAAGCGGGUCAUGUACGCGUACGAGUAGCCUAGUUGUUACGAGUCGCUGAGUGUCAGCCCGACCUUGGCUCGAUUUGU
rfam:Talaromyces stipitatus ATCC 10500 scf_1107713414851 genomic scaffold, whole genome shotgun sequence.